rnacentral:rRNA from 1 species
ACAUGCAGUCGACGGUCUCUUCGGAGGCGCUGGCUGACGGGUGAGUAACGCGUGGGAAUCUACCUGGCUCUACGGAACAACUCACGGAAACUUGAGCUAAUACCGUAUACGCCCUUCGGGGGAAAGAUUUAUCGGAGUUGGAUGAGCCCGCGUCUGAUUACCUACUUGGUGGGGUAAUGGCCUACCAAGGCGACGAUCAAUAGCUGGUCUGAGAGGAUGAUCAACCACACUGGGACUGAAACACGGCCCAGACUCCUACGGGAGGCAGAAGUGGGGAAUAUUGGACAAUGGGCGCAAGCCUGAUCCAGCCAUGCCGCGUGAGUGAUGAAGGCCCUAGGGUUGUAAAGCUCUUUCACCGGUGAACAUAAUGACGGUAGCCGGAGAAGAAACCCCGGCUAACUUCGUGCCAGCAGCCGCGGUAAUACGAAGGGCGCUAGCGUUGUUCGGAAUUACUGGCCGUAAAGCGCGCGUAGGCGGAUUGGUCAUGUACGUGUGAAGUCCCUAGGCUCAAUCCUGCAACUGCCUCUAAUACUUCCAGUCUACACUUCGAGAUACGUGAGUGGAAUUCCGAGUGUAGAGGUG